rnacentral:rRNA from 1 species
UACGUAGGGUCCGAGCGUUGUCCGGAAUUAUUGGGCGUAAAGGGCUCGUAGGCGGUUCGUCACGUCGGGAGUGAAAACUCGGGGCUUAACCCCGAGCCUGCUUCCGAUACGGGCAGACUAGAGGUAGGCAGGGGAGAGCGGAACUCCUGGUGUAGCGGUGGAAUGCGCAGAUAUCAGGAGGAACACCGGUGGCGAAGGCGGAUCUCUGGGCCUUACCUGACGCUCAGGCGCGAAAGCUAGGGGAGCGAACAGG